rnacentral:rRNA from 1 species
ACCCAGACUCCUACGGGAGGCAGCAGUGGGGAAUAUUGCACAAUGGGGGAAACCCUGAUGCAGCGACGCCGCGUGAGCGAUGAAGUAUUUCGGUAUGUAAAGCUCUAUCAGCAGGGAAGAAGAUGGCGGUACCUGACUAAGAAGCCCCGGCUAACUACGUGCCAGCAGCCGCGGUAAUACGUAGGGGGCAAGCGUUAUCCGGAUUUACUGGGUGUAAAGGGAGCGUAGACGGCGAUGCAAGCCAGAUGUGAAAGCCCGGGGCUCAACCCCGGGACUGCAUUUGGAACUGUGUGGCUGGAGUGUCGGAGAGGCAGGCGGAAUUCCUAGUGUAGCGGUGAAAUGCGUAGAUAUUAGGAGGAACACCAGUGGCGAAGGCGGCCUGCUGGACGAUGACUGACGUUGAGGCUCGAAAGCGUGGGGAGCAAACAGGAUUAGAUACCCUAGUAUA